GACGAACGCUGGCGGCGUGCUUAACACAUGCAAGUCGAACGCAGUGGCGAACGGGUGAGUAACGCGUAAUCAACCUGCCCUUCAGCGGGGGACAACAGUUGGAAACGCCUGCUAAUACCGCAUACUGAAGGAGGGGAUUGCGUCUGAUUAGCUAGUUGGAGGGGGAACGGCCAACCAAGGCGAUGAUCAGUAGCCGGGCUGAGAGGAUGAACGGCCACAUUGGGACGGAGACACGGCCCAGACUCCUACGGGAGGCAGCAGUGGGGAAUCUUCCGCAAUGGAGGAAAGUCUGACGGAGCAACGCCGCGUGAGUGAUGACGGCCUUCGGGUUGUAAAGCUCUGUUAAUCGGGACGCGGUACCGGAAUAGAAAGCCACGGCUAACUACGUGCCAGCAGCCGCGGUAAUAC
rnacentral:rRNA from 1 species